rnacentral:rRNA from 1 species
AUGUUGAAAUAUAUUGAAACAAAUAAUACCAAACCAAAUGAAUCAAAAACAAACAAAACACAAAUAGUACAAACAUCAAAUUCAUUAAUCCACAACAUCAAAUUAUUACAUAGUUUAGUAAUCCAUAACAUAAAAUUCAAUGCAAAUUGUUCAUCACAAGUGGCAACAAACACAGAGAUAAAACUAUUGGUCUUGUUGCCCACGGCAUGCUCACCACUCCUCGAUGAUAUAUUUUUGAAGAUCUUCGUGUGUAUCGGAAUCUCGAAUGUCAAGCUACACCUCAAGAAAGUGUCGGCUUCGCUCUUCCCAUUCUACAUGUCUGCAUCGGUUGUCUCAUGA